CAGCACCACAGCAUUGCCCUGAACACUGAUCUUUUUCUCUUCCCCUUGUACAGAUCCCCGUGGUUUCACUGCGCCCACCUGGAUAACCCAAAGACACUUUUCCUUUCUCAAUAUGUGCAACUGAAUCCCACCUGCAAAGUCUCAAUCUACCAUGGACAGUAACACAGUCACAGGCGCCAGAGAUUUGGACGUGAUAUUUUUGGGGGCUGUUACCCUGCUGAUACCCGAGGAUGAGGGUAGGGCAGUAGAAGAAAAGUGAAAAGUAGACAGAAUGGAGAUGCAUCUUGGAGUGUACUGGAUCCCAUUGCUGAUACGAUUAGGAGAUAACAGAGAAACGCCAAUCGAGAGGUGCCAAGCCCAUUCCUUAAAGAGGAUCAUGCAGACUCCUGAGGCCACAAGCGAUCUCCUCCCCAGAGCCAUCCCACUCCACAUCUCAGCCACGUGGGGGUCCCUUGAUGUCAGCUAGCGGAGAGGACCCUGCAGCAGUUGCAGCCUGGGCUGUCUUCCCAGGACAGGUGGGUUUCCCUCAGGAUUGCAGAGGUGGGAGGAGUCUCCUAGAACAUCCUCCUAAAAGGGUUAAAGAGUAGUCACUGUGGCUUGAGCUCCCAGCCACAGCAUUUUCCAGGGAAGCCAAUUGCCAAUUCCCUCUCUGAGAGGCACCCCCAGGCAGAGCUAUGAUGCCACAACCCACUUCCUAGUAUAACCCGUGCCUGCAUUAUUAUUGUUGAAGACAAUGGCAGAAAAUAGCUUUGGCCCCAGCUUUGCCAAGCUGUAAGGCAGCCUGUGCCGAGUGUCCAGCCAUGCACAGAUAUAAAUCCACCUGGAAUGGGCCCAGCCAACUUCGUCUAGAAAGAGCUAGGAAAAAAAAAAAAGUAUUUUCAGUUUUGUGAGCCAUAUGGUCUGUGUUGUAACUAUUCAGCUGGGCCCUUUCAGGGCAAGGGAGCCACAGACAAAUCCUCG
rnacentral:lncRNA from 1 species